AUUGAACGCUGGCGGCAGGCUUAACAUAUGCAAGUCGAGCGGGGUGAUGGUGCUUGCACUAUCACUUAGCGGCGGACGGGUGAGUAAUGCUUAGGAAUCUGCCUAUUAGUGGGGGACAACAUCUCGAAAGGGAUGCUAAUACCGCAUACGUCCUACGGGAGAAAGCAGGGGAUCACUUGUGACCUUGUGCUAAUAGAUGAGCCUAAGUCGGAUUAGCUAGUUGGUGGGGUAAAGGCCUACCAAGGCGACGAUCUGUAGCGGGUCUGAGAGGAUGAUCCGCCACACUGGGACUGAGACACGGCCCAGACUCCUACGGGAGGCAGCAGUGGGGAAUAUUGGACAAUGGGGGGAACCCUGAUCCAGCCAUGCCGCGUGUGUGAAGAAGGCCUUAUGGUUGUAAAGCACUUUAAGCGAGGAGGAGGCUUACCUAGUUAAUACCUGGGAUAAGUGGACGUUACUCGCAGAAUAAGCACCGGCUAACUCUGUGCCAGCAGCCGCAGUAA
rnacentral:rRNA from 1 species